GAGUUUGAUCCUGGCUCAGGAUGAACGCUGGCGGCGUGCUUAACACAUGCAAGUCGAACGGGAAACCUUUUAUUGAAGCUUCGGCAGAUUUAGAUUGUUUCUAGUGGCGGACGGGUGAGUAACGCGUGGGUAACCUGCCUUAUACCGGGGGAUAACAGCCAGAAAUGGUUGCUAAUACCGCAUAAGCGCACGAGAGGACAUCCUCUUGUGUGAAAAACUCCGGUGGUACAGGAUGGGCCCGCGUCUGAUUAGCUGGUUGGCAGGGUAACGGCCUACCAAGGCGACGAUCAGUAGCCGGUCUGAGAGGAUGAACGGCCACAUUGGAACUGAGACACGGUCCAAACUCCUACGGGAGGCAGCAGUGGGGAAUAUUGCACAAUGGGCGAAAGCCUGAUGCAGCGACGCCGCGUGAGCGAUGAAGUAUUUCGGUAUGUAAAGCUCUAUCAGCAGGGAAGAUAAUGACGGUACCUGACUAAGAAGCUCCGGCUAAAUACGUGCCAGCCGCCGCGGUAAUAC
rnacentral:rRNA from 1 species